UACGGAGGGUGCAAGCGUUAUCCGGAUUCACUGGGUUUAAAGGGUGCGUAGGAGGGCAGGUAAGUCAGUGGUGAAAUCUCCAAGCUUAACUUGGAAACUGCCGUUGAUACUAUCUGUCUUGAAUAUUGUGGAGGUGAGCGGAAUAUGUCAUGUAGCGGUGAAAUGCUUAGAUAUGACAUAGAACACCAGUUGCGAAGGCAGCUCGCUACACAUAUAUUGACUCUGAGGCACGAAAGCGUGGGGAUCAAACAGG
rnacentral:rRNA from 1 species